CGUAGGGUCCGAGCGUUGUCCGGAAUUAUUGGGCGUAAAGAGCUCGUAGGCGGUUUGUCGCGUCUGCUGUGAAAUCCCGAGGCUCAACCUCGGGCCCGCAGUGGGUACGGGCAGACUGGAGUGCGGUAGGGGAGAAUGGAAUUCCUGGUGUAGCGGUGGAAUGCGCAGAUAUCAGGAGGAACACCGAUGGCGAAGGCAGUUCUCUGGGCCGUAACUGACGCUGAGGAGCGAAAGCGUGGGGGAGCGAACAGGAUUAGAUACCCUGGUAGUCCACGCCGUAAACGUUGGGCGCUAGAUGUGGGGACCGUUUCCACGGUUUCCGUGUCGUAGCUAACGCAUUAAGCGCCCCGCCUGGGGAGUACGGCCGCAGGCUA
rnacentral:rRNA from 1 species